rnacentral:rRNA from 1 species
UACGUAGGGGGCUAGCGUUGUCCGGAAUCAUUGGGCGUAAAGAGCGCGUAGGCGGCCCUGUAAGUCCGCUGUGAAAGUCAAGGGCUCAACCCUUGAAUGCCGGUGGAUACUGCAGGGCUAGAGUCCGGAAGAGGCGAGUGGAAUUCCUGGUGUAGCGGUGAAAUGCGUAGAUAUCGGGAAGGAACACCAGUGGCGAAGGCGACUACCUGGCCUGUUUCUUGACGCUGAGGCGCGAAAGCUAGGGGAGCAACGGG